AUGGAAUUCAAGAGAAACAAUUAAAAGACCAAGGUGAGCGCUGUGAAUGAUCAUUUUGUGGAGUGGCGAGUUUAUAUGAUUGUAUGGCAAAUGGUGAAAGCGAUGCAUACAUAUGAAUUGGUAGCUGCUCUUUCAGAUACCGGGCUUCACAAUCUGCUUGGUGAUCGAAAUCUGUUGGUAGGCCUCUUUGGUUACGGCAAAGUAAUUGCAAUACUUAAGCCUAAUUUGGUUGUUAUAGGAAUGGCACCGUGUAGAAGAUUUGAAAUUGGAGAAAUCACUCGAAAUUUCCUGAAGGAGCAAAGCUGUCUUUUGAAGCCGAAGAUAUCAUUACCAGACUCAUGUGCUAUGUCAGUUGAAGGCAUGUCAAUCAAAGGCUCAGAACUAGAGGGUCAUAUGAGAUAAAGGUAGAAAUCUAAGGUCAGUAACUGUUAUUGUGUUGUACACUCGUUGAUCUGGUUUACACAUAUCAGGAACACAUAGUUUUAGAUGGAAGCUGCGUUUUUGCCCAAGGUUGAUGACUAACUAGAUACUCGGAACUUUGAGAAAUUUGAAUAGGUAACAUUUAUGCUCAUCUGGUAUAUUUUUUAAAGUAAUUCUACGUCAGAACAUACAUCUCACUAGUACAAGAGGGUUAUCAUCUUCUACUGGAUCAUGAUUCAAAAUUCACAUAUACAGUUCCAGGGUAUGCUAUAGGAAUUAAACUAUUCUACAUGUGCCUUUUGAUAUGUGCAUCACAAGCACCAAUUAAAAGGAAUGUCUUCUUAUGUUAACACCAUAAGUGCAAUAAUUUUGAACUUCAGCAGCGGUUCCACAGACCUGGUAGUUUAUGCUGAUAUAAAUGACAUCAAAUCCUACACUCAGCUUUGCUCCUUCAAAAAAUGAAACUGAGUCAUAUUAUCUACUGAUUACAAUGUUUGUGUCUUUUCUAAUUUCCAACUUAAAUUUGAUUUCCUGUUUCAAAUUUGUAGUCUAAAUUCAUAAUUCUUAAAUAAAAAACUGUUUGUAUUAUUAGUAAUAUAUUUAUGCAGAAGUGUGGUAUUUUAGGUAAUCUAACAGUCUAGUCAAUUAAAUUCUUAGCACCAACAAAGAUCCACUGAUACUCGAUACACGUUUUAGAAUUUUAGAAAUUUUAAUUAGCAGAAAUGAAACAAAAUGGAGAGUAGCAGACAACCAAGAAACAAACUAGAAUCCUACACUAUUGAUAGCCCAAAUCCUACGAACUUCUAGCCCCUCUCUCUUCUAUUAUUUUCUCGAGUCCCGUUCACCUGAACUCUCCUGCCUAUGGUGUUCGGAUACUCAACAAGCUGAUCAACUAUUAGAUCCUUCCAACUCCUCUGCUCCAUGACUGCCUUGUAAAUUCAAUCUGCUUGACCUCAGCCUAAAUGCAAAACAGUACUGAUUAGAUAAUGUUAUCAUAAUCUGUGUAAUAGUAGUCUACCAACUCAGAUUGAGGAAAUAUUAAUAAUAUAACAACUGAGAAGCAUGCUAAACAUUCACUCUUAUGGGUUUUCAAGUAAUUUGACACAGAAAUAUUUAUCAAACAAUUAGAUUAUUAAAUAUUUUCCUAGUUGGGAAGCUAUUAUUCACAUAGUGUCGUGAAAGAUUAUCUUAUAAGUUGUAUAGUCAUCGUGAAACUCAUCCUGUAAUGUUAUUUAUAUGCACACAAAACAUCACAGAGAUUUACAAAGUACUAACAAACAUUUAAUACAUGAUUGAUAUGUAUUUCUUUACAAUGGAAUAAACAAAGACCUUACUUCAGUAAUCUGCCUUGCCACUCAUCGGCGAAGCAGGAGUGGUUGGCCUGUCUAGUAAGAUCCAGAUCCAGACAUCCUUAUCUUGAUAUUUACAAUAAUCACUCUCGUCCGUGAUCACAUGCACUGCAACGUCUUCCCCAAUAUGCGAUUCUUCCUCUAUAAUCUCCAAAAUCCGUUUAGGCACUUUCAUCUUCACAUCUUCAUUUAUUGCAGUCGAUGCCGGCCAUUUCCUCACCAUGGCCACCCCAGAUCUUGGUGAUUGAAUAUCCUUUAAUGAAACAGCACUCUUUUGAUCUGCCUCGAGGUUUUCCCCUAAUUCCUUUUGAUUCUGGUAGAAACCUAAAUCAAGAUUCAACAUCACCUUCUCAGGAAGUGAAAGUGCUUCGGAGUUACGCUGAUCCUGCAAGGUUAUAUUAGCAGCGGAAGAACUUACCUUCAUGGUCAUGAUCUGGUUGUGUAGUUUGUAGGUGUAGAUAAGGAAAAGCAUAUAUGAUGCUGAACACAUGAAAUGUGUGAAGUGUAUAUAUAGCGAGGUGAGGGGUGGGCUUCAUAAUGGUGCUUACACAUGGAGUUCUUGUUUAACACUGUACUUGUGCUAACAAGUGACGCGUGUUACGGAUACUUAGAAACAAAAGCGGGGAACUAUAUCGACCAUCCAAUUCUAUGCCUAGUCAUCAAGUCCAGCACAACUGCGGCCAACAUGUUUAUGUCACAUCUCUAUCUAGUUACUCAUUAUUUAUCUUUUUAGUAUUAGGCAUUCUAUUCAUUACUUAGAUGGAUCACAAAUUUAUAUACGAGGUAUUAUUUAACAUCUUAAUAAAAUCAAUAAGGAUGAUUACAAAUAUAUUUCAUGAAAAUAUAUUUAAAAUAUCAUAUUUUUAAAAUUACUCUUUGUAUUUAGUUAUUUUUGUUAUGCCUAUUCUAUAAUGGAUGAGCGGCUUUCGUAUUCGGCUUGUUUAGAUAUUUUAUUAAUUUUUCCUUAUUUUAUUCUCUCCCGCAUCCUAUGCUACGUCACCCGACCCAAUACAUUUAAAUAAUAUAUCGAGAUCCAAAAACAUAUCAUCUUUAAGCUUACAAAUCAGCAUAAGAUAUCUAAUAAAUUUCAAACAUAAGGGAAAAAAAUCUAUAAAUGAAGUUUUUGACACUCCAAAUAUCAAUUGAAAUUGUUUAACACGCAAUAACAAUUACAAUUUAACAUAACAUAUAUAGCAAAUAAAACAUAUCAACAUGAAAAUGCAAUAUAUCCUCAUUCAUCCAUCAGAGAUCAAGGGUUGGAAUCUUUAUUGGGAAUGCUAGGGGUCUUUUACAUAAACGGCCUCUCUAUCCUGUCCUUUUGAGUAAAAAGUAAAGUUGAAUAUGUACAUCUUGCUUUUCUCAAUGCACAAUUGUCUUUCCUUUGUAAAAAGAUACCUCUUCUCUGUCCUGACCAUUUCUUUACACUUGCCUUUUUGGAAUAUCUCUUCCAAUUCUUUACAUUUCAAAACUUAUCAAAUAUAGUAACAUUUAAUAAUAUAAAAAUUAACUACAUCCACUACUUUCCUCCACUAUACUUAUUUUAUAUAUUAAAUAUCUAGAAAGCAGGGGUGCAGCCCUCAGGUGGUGCACUGCGCACCCGGUGCGGCGGUGCGCGGGGGUGCGGCAGCAUAUGCACGGAGUGCGCCACCUGGCGUGUCGUCGUAUUUCUUUAGCGGGAUUCGUGGGGGUACGGAACAGGGGGUGCGGGAGGGGCACUUUUGGUAAAUUUUCUGGUCUCCGUUACCGACUCACCACCAUCAGCUUUCUUCUUCGGCGACGACGGCGACACUCUCCGGAGCCGAAGCGUCGCCUGAGAUAGAGGAGAGAGAUCGCAGGGAGAGGGAGAGAGAGAAGAAGAAAGAAAGGGAGAGAGAGAGAGAGAGACGUCGGAGAGAGAGAUUGACGAGGGAGACGAGGGAGAUGAAUAUCUAUGCGUAUAUGUAUGUUUAUAUUUGUGUGGUUUAUAUGUCAGGAUUAUUGAGGGUUAGACUUUACAUACUCUCAGUGUCUAGGAAGAAACAAAAGUAAUACUAUUGUACAAAGUCAGUCACAUGGGCAGCCCGCUUUCCCAGUUAGAAUUAUUAUUAUUAAAAGCUCUGUGGCUGUUAUCACCGCGAACAACAUGGAGGAUGAGUAUCACUGCAUCAGUAUCUUCUUUUUGGUUUCUUAAACACCCAACCAGGAUACGCAGAGUAUUUACAUGCACACAUACAAUUCAGAAUUUCAUUUAUUGAAUUACUGCAGUUUUGUCUUUUUUCUCUCUUUAGGAAAGAAAACUCCGGCUCAAACAAAAAUCAAAAUCAACAUAUUGGAUUAAUCUCCCUGUUUUUCUUGCAUCUAUUCCUUUUUUUUCACACUAACAGAGUUAUUGAUUUCUUUCAUCACUUUUUUUUUGUAAAAAUGAGAAUAAAUGUCACAAACAUGAAUCGGCAACUCACCGUGAUAAUUCUUUCUUUCAAGAAAGCUUAUCAUCUAGCCGUCGGACAUGCAAGAUGACUGGGGAAUUUAGACAAUAAAACUUUAAUGUCCAAAUAUAAAAACCCGUCUUCUUCCAAGAAUCCUGAAAAUGAAACAAAGGAAACAAGAAGAAUAUAAGUCGAUAUAAUAUACCAUAUUAUAUAUAUUAUAAAAAUAAAAAAUAUAUUCAAUAAUUAAUAAAAUCACGUGUAUAUGCAUGUGCUGAUCAAAAUAUUCACACAAUUAUGAUAACUCAUAAUUGAGACAAUUAAACUCUUAAUUAAGGCACAAUUAAUAAAAGAUUAACGCCCUCAAUUAAGACACAAUCAACGCCCUCAAAUAAGGCACAAUUAACAUCCUCAAUUAGGAGGCACAAUUUACGCCCUCAAUUAUGAGGCACAAUAAACGCCCUCAAUUAAGAGGCACAAUUAACGCCCUCAAUUAAGGCACAAUUAACGCCUUCCUUUUCGAAACCUGAUCCCAAAGGAACCGCCGUCGCCUCAACCCUCAGCCACCACCGCUACGCUAUCUCUCCCGCACACGAUCGCGAAGAGGACGAUGACCACCCGGAGCAUAUCCAUCGGUAGAAGUAAAUACACAGAAAAAGUUAGAUUUGAAUUUCAUUUAAAAUCCACGACAUUCAAACACUAAUGUAAAGCUUCGAAUUUGAAAUGACAAAUCAAAUCAUGAUAUUUGAAAUCCAAAAUUUGAAACGAAAAACAUGUUCUUAAACGCACAAAAUGAAGCUAAUCAACACACUUAAACAGGCCCUAACAUCCUAAACAGAGCAUCAAUCGAUCAUUACACGUCUAUUUCUUAGCAUAUUGAUCAUAAUAAAAGUGACCCACGUAAAUAAAAUAAUCCACAACAAGUGAAGCAUGCAUAUAGAGAUAAAAUAAAAGGGAGCGAAAAUACCUUGGAAAAAAUGAAGGAUACAUGGUUAAGGGUGAUUAUUUCUUUCAUCACUUUCAACCAAAUGAAAACACCAAAACAGAAAUAUGGAUUUAUGCUCGGUUUUAACAUAAAGACCAUCGUUUUCAAAGUUCUUCAUCAACACAUACACUGAUUUACAUGUACAUAGUUGUGGAGAAGAUUCUUAACUAUUUACUGUUAUUUUCGAGAUUUGGUGUGGAUAUACUGGAAUUAUUUGCAAGGAACAAUCAGAGAUGGAGAUACUGAUAACAUGGGUUUUUUUGGUUAUGACACUCUGGUAUGAAGAGAAGGGCUCAAAUCAUUCAAUUGACAGAGGAUUUCGCAAGACAGCUAUGUCUUUCCUUUAUGCAAGUUUUGUUGGCUAUAUGUAAAAGAAUUUUGAGAUUGUGAAAGAGCAUCACUUUCCUGGCAUUUGGUUGUUUCAAUCUGCAUAAACUGACAUGAAGUGCUUACGAUAAAGACGGACUAUUUUAUGAAUCUGUGACUCAUGUCACCUGAUAUUAAAAUGCCCGAGAACAUAUCAUUUCUAAAUCAGUGCCUGUUUCUUUUUUAGAUUUGCUCGUAUGCAAUUAAAAAAAAGUGUUCUCUAUAUGCAGCAGUAGUGAGGAAGACUAAUAGGCCUAAAAUACCAUUUAUCAAUUCACUAUUUCCUUCUCAUACAUUUAAUCCCCUUGUCAAUACUGAAGUUUUGCAACUUCAUUAAAGUCAUGUACACACGCACACACACACAGAAGAAGCUACAUAUGAUCUCGUUCUAAUCGGAAAUCAUACAUUUAGAGCUAGUUAGUCUAAUUGCUUGUGUCCAGAUGAAAGUGCUUGAGCCACGAAUCAUGACCAAGGUCCAGUGCAUACUCAAAGUUACAAUAACAUUUGCAUGACUUGAUAAAAAAAAACCACCUGCAACCAGCAGCUUUGAGUCACAACCCUAGCAAACCUGAGGUGUGGCAAAAACAUGGUAUUAAAAGCGUGAAGCUUUUAUAAUAUAUCAGAAAGUGGUGGCAGGGUGGCCCCUUUUUUCUGCAAUGUAAAAGAGUCUAUUUGUAGUAUCAUUCUGUAGCAUAUCAGGCUCUGAGGACUUGGGGAUUCAUUUUUUAAGGGCUUCAGGUGUAGGUGUAAUAUAAAUCCAUGUUCUUUUUUAGAGUGUCAUUGCUAAUUGUGGAUCUAGGAAUAUAGUGUAUAUUGCAAUUGGUGAUCAGAAGUACAAGUAGUGGCUUGUUUAUGAUCCUCUAAAUCUUAAAAUGCAUGUAUACUAUAUGCUGAGUGUGUGUGGACAGUGCACUGGUUUCAGAAUUGGCUGGGUAUCAUCAUAUAAUGGAGAGUGAGGUCAAAUAUCACUUGGAACAGUUUCUGCAAAGUUUCUCCGAUUCAUGUGACUGCUUGUUGUCAGUGGAACGACCUUAUCUCGGGAGUCAUCUAGUGAUGUAGAUUGAGCUACUAUUCUGUUCACCAAGGUAUUCUGUUCACUAAGGUAUGAUCAAGGCUGUUACCCGCAUCGGCUUUGAGCCAAAUCAUAAACUACCAAUUCUUGAAUAGCUACUUAUCAAAUACAUUAUUAUCAGAUACUUUGGGGUCGCUUAGCGAGCCCAAUUUAGGGUCGCAUAACGGGCCUGAUUUUUUAGUCAUUUUAAUUCGGGACCAUCUCGGGGUUGCUAUUAUCAUACAUGUAAGUAGCUUGAACAAUAAACUUCAACUGUAUUCGUGUCA